GUGGCAUUUGCAAACUCUCUAGUCAGUCAGAAGUCCCAUCUGUCUGCCUCUUUCUCCUUCAGUUUCCAUGGAGAGGCUGGCACUGGGACACACCAUGACUGAUGGUGCACUCCCCCACUACCG
rnacentral:precursor_RNA from 14 species